GAUGAACGCUGGCGGCGUGCCUAAUACAUGCAAGUCGAGCGAAUGGAUUAAGAGCUUGCUCUUAUGAAGUUAGCGGCGGACGGGUGAGUAACACGUGGGUAACCUGCCCAUAAGACUGGGAUAACUCCGGGAAACCGGGGCUAAUACCGGAUAACAUUUUGAACCGCAUGGUUCGAAAUUGAAAGGCGGCUUCGGCUGUCACUUUUGGAUGGACCCGCGUCGCAUUAGCUAGUUGGUGAGGUAACGGCUCACCAAGGCAACGAUGCGGAGCCGACCUGAGAGGGUGAUCGGCCACACUGGGACUGAGACACGGCCCAGACUCCUACGGGAGGCAGCAGUAGGGAAUCUUCCGCAAUGGACGAAAGUCUGACGGAGCAACGCCGCGUGAGUGAUGAAGGCUUUCGGGUCGUAAAACUCUGUUGUUAGGGAAGAACAAGUGCUAGUUGAAUAAGCUGGCACCUUGACGGUACCUAACCAGAAAGCCACGGCUAACUACGUGCCAGCAGCCGCCGUAA
rnacentral:rRNA from 1 species